UAUUCUAUAUUGCCCUAUUAACUCCUAUGUCUAUUCUAAUAUGCCCCAUCCUAAUAACUUAUUUCUUUUUUAUUUACUUUUAAUUACAAAACGUGGCUAACUACCCAAAUACCCUUAAUGAAUUAACAAAACUACAACCCAACCUAAGUUAAACCCACCCAAACCAUACCCAGUCGGAUCUAACCCGAAUCUCUCCUUAACCCUAACACGUGUUCCAUUGUCAUUAAGCUGUUAAAAAAAACCUUUCUCUCUGCCGAAAUCAAAACCGACGAAAAAAAGAGACUGAAAUCCCUCUUCUCUCUUCCUUCUCAACCUCCGCAGAAGCAUUCAAAAUCGACAUCUUUCUUCUUCUUCUUUCCCGAAACCCAGGAACAAAGUUGAUGAAGAAGCUGAGAAAGAAUCUAAAGAUGCAGAGAUAGAGAAAGAAGGAUGGAACAUAAGGAACAAAGGCUUGUAAUAUAAUGGCCGAGUGUUAAUUAAGAAUUUAAAUAUGUAAUUUAAGAAUAUUGUGUAGGAAAUUUUGUUAUGUUUGUUGCAAUGCCAGUUUGGAUAUUGUGUAUAAAAUUGGUAUUAUAUUGUUUUGAAAUAGGUUUAGAUAA